AGAGGAAGUAAAAGUCGUAACAAGGUUUCCGUAGAACAAGUCUUGCAGGAAUGAUUCCUUCCGCAGUGUACACUUGUAGAAGCCUUUGCAGCCACGCAAGUGGUAGAUCUGGGCGACUUUAAACAAUCCCAGGAUCGCUAUGCAAGUCGGCCCACGCGCGUGGUGCCGGCGACACUUUCGAAUUGACGGGGACGCCCUAAAGCCUGUCGCACCAACUCAGUGUGGGAAACCGCCCGAGGGCCCGUGCUAACUACACGGGGUGGUAACAGACGACAUGGAUACUUCCACGCCUCUGGUGUGGAUGCUAUGGGUAAUCCGCAGCGAAGCCUCUAAGUCCGGCCGACGGAUACGAGGAACGUUCACAGACUAAGUGGAAGUGGGUGGAGCGUUUGCCGCUCUGCUUAAGAUAUAGUCGGUCCCCUUGGGAAACUAAGGGGGUGAGUACACUGCCUGAAAUUUUAACAUGAACGUGCGCGGUUGUAAGGUGAUUGAUUCUUAUAUACGCCAGCAGCGCACCUUCCCUAAAAUUUCAAGACUGUCAGUUGCCUCGCGGUUUGACAGCUCUUAAAACGUUCCGUAGGUGAACCUGCGGAAGGAUCAUUACAGAAGGUAAACGCGGGUCAAACCGCGAACUUUUAAACCUUUGACGAUUGACUCGUGUUGCCUCGGCGGGCUCGCCCGCCAGAGGAUGUAUCAAAACUCCUAUUUUAACGGUGUUGUCUGAGCUACAAGCAACGAAUCAAAACUUUCAACAACGGAUCUCUUGGUUCUGGCAUCGAUGAAGAACGCAGCGAAAUGCGAUAAGUAGUGUGAAUUGCAGAAUUCAGUGAAUCAUCGAAUCUUUGAACGCACAUUGCGCCCCUUGGUAUCCCGAGGGGCAUGCCUGUUCGAGCGUCAUUACACCACUCAAGCCUGGCUUGGUGUUAGGCGACGUCCCCUUUGGGGACGCGCCUUAAAACGCUCGGCGGCGUGGCACCGGCUUUAAGCGUAGCAGAAUCUUUCGCUUCAAAAGUUGGGGCCCCGCCUGCCGGAAGACCUACUCACAAGGUUGACCUCGGAUCAGGCAGGGAUACCCGCUGAACUUAAGCAUAUCAAUAAGCGGAGGAA
rnacentral:misc_RNA from 1 species